GACGAACGCUGGCGGCGUGCUUAACACAUGCAAGUCGAACGGAAAGGCCCUGCUUUUGUGGGGUGCUCGAGUGGCGAACGGGUGAGUAACACGUGAGUAACCUGCCCUUGACUUUGGGAUAACUUCAGGAAACUGGGGCUAAUACCGGAUAGGAGCUCCUGCUGCAGGGUGGGGGUUGGAACGUUUCGGCGGUUGGGGAUGGACUCGCGGCUUAUCAGCUUGUUGGUGGGGUAGUGGCUUACCAAGGCUUUGACGGGUAGCCGGCCUGAGAGGGUGACCGGCCACAUUGGGACUGAGAGACGGACCAGACUCCUACGGGAGGCAGCAGUGGGGAAUAUUGCACAAUGGGCGGAAGCCUGAUGCAGCAACGCCGCGUUCGGGAUGACGGCCUUCGGGUUGUAAACCGCUUUCGCCUGUGACGAAGCGUGAGUGACGGUAAUGGGUAAAGAAGCACCGGCUAACUACGUG
rnacentral:rRNA from 1 species